GAUGAACGCUGGCGGCGUGCCUAAUACAUGCAAGUCGAGCGAACAGACGAGGAGCUUGCUCCUCUGACGUUAGCGGCGGACGGGUGAGUAACACGUGGAUAACCUACCUAUAAGACUGGGAUAACUUCGGGAAACCGGAGCUAAUACCGGAUAAUAUAUUGAACCGCAUGGUUCAAUAGUGAAAGACGGUUUUGCUGUCACUUAUAGAUGGAUCCGCGCCGCAUUAGCUAGUUGGUAAGGUAACGGCUUACCAAGGCAACGAUGCGUAGCCGACCUGAGAGGGGGAUCGGCCAAACUGGAACUGAGACACGGUCCAGACUCCUACGGGAGGCAGCAGUAGGGAAUCUUCCGCAAUGGGCGAAAGCCUGACGGAGCAACGCCGCGUGAGUGAUGAAGGUCUUCGGAUCGUAAAACUCUGUUAUUAGGGAAGAACAAAUGUGUAAGUAACUAUGCACGUCUUGACGGUACCUAAUCAGAAAGCCACGGCUAACUACGUGC
rnacentral:rRNA from 1 species